GAGAAGAACGUAUUUGAUAGUAACUGAUCAGGUAGUGACGGUAUCCAACCAGAAAGCCACGGCUAACUACGUGCCAGCAGCCGCGGUAAUACGUAGGUGGCAAGCGUUGUCCGGAUUUAUUGGGCGUAAAGCGAGCGCAGGCGGUUUCUUAAGUCUGAUGUGAAAGCCUUCGGCUCAACCGAAGAAGUGCAUCGGAAACUGGGAAACUUGAGUGCAGAAGAGGACAGUGGAACUCCAUGUGUAGCGGUGAAAUGCGUAGAUAUAUGGAAGAACACCAGUGGCGAAGGCGGCUGUCUGGUCUGUAACUGACGCUGAGGCUCGAAAGCAUGGGUAGCAAACAGGAUUAGAUACCCUGGUAGUCCAUGCCGUAAACGAUGAGUGCUAGGUGUUGGAGGGUUUCCGCCCUUCAGUGCCGCAGCUAACGCAUUAAGCACUCCGCCUGGGGAGUACGACCGCAAGGUUGAAACUCAAAGGAAUUGACGGGCGG
rnacentral:rRNA from 1 species